GGCGGACGGGUGAGUAACGCGUGGGUAACCCGCCCUGUACUGGGGGACAACAGUUAGAAAUGACUGCUAAUACCGCAUAAGCCUACGGAGUCGCAUGGCUCAGUAGAAAAAAUUCCGGUGGUACAGGAUGGGCCCGCGUCUGAUUAGCUAGUUGGUGAGGUAAUGGCUCACCAAGGCGACGAUCAGUAGCCGGCUUGAGAAAGUGAACGGCCACAUUGGGACUGAGACACGGCCCAA
rnacentral:rRNA from 1 species